rnacentral:rRNA from 1 species
GAUGAACGCUGGCGGCGUGCCUAAUACAUGCAAGUCGAGCGAACAGACGAGGAGCUUGCUCCUUUGACGUUAGCGGCGGACGGGUGAGUAACACGUAGGUAACCUACCUAUAAGACUGGGAUAACUUCGGGAAACCGGAGCUAAUACCGGAUAAUAUUUCGAACCGCAUGGUUCGAUAGUGAAAGAUGGCUUUGCUAUCACUUAUAGAUGGACCUGCGCCGUAUUAGCUAGUUGGUAAGGUAACGGCUUACCAAGGCAACGAUACGUAGCCGACCUGAGAGGGUGAUCGGCCACACUGGAACUGAGACACGGUCCAGACUCCUACGGGAGGCAGCAGUAGGGAAUCUUCCGCAAUGGGCGAAAGCCUGACGGAGCAACGCCGCGUGAGUGAUGAAGGUCUUCGGAUCGUAAAACUCUGUUAUUAGGGAAGAGCAAACGUGGAAGUAACUGUGCACGUCUUGACGGUACCUAAUCAGAAAGCCACGGCUAACUACGUG